rnacentral:rRNA from 1 species
GCAGGCGCGAAACCUUUACACUGCACGACAGUGCGAUAGGGGGAUCCCAAGUGCACAGGCAUAGCGCCUGUGCUUUUCGGUACCCUAAGGCGGUACCAGAAUAAGGGCUGGGCAAGACCGGUGCCAGCCGCCACGGUAAUACCGGCAGCCCAAGUGAUGGCCGAUCUUAUUGGGCCUAAAGCGUCCGUAGCUGGCCGUACAAGUCCAUCGGGAAAUCCACCUGCUCAACAGGUGGGCGCCCGGUAGAAACUGUGCGGCUUGGGACCGGAAGGCGCGACGGGUACGUCCGGGGUAGGAGUGAAAUCCCGUAAUCCUGGACGGACCGCCGAUGGCGAAAGCACGUCGCGAGAACGGAUCCGACAGUGAGGGACGAAAGCCAGGGUCUCGAACCGGAUUAGAUACCCGGGUAGUCCUGGCCGUAAACAAUGUCUGCUAGGUGUGGCUCCCACUACGAGUGGGUGCUGUGCCGUAGGGAAGCCGCUAAGCAGACCGCCUGGGAAGUACGUCCGCAAGGAUGAAACUUAAAGGAAUUGGCGGGGGAGCACUACAACCGGAGGAGCCUGCGGUUUAAUUGGAUUCAACGCCGG